AGGGACGUGGCGGAACCGGCAGACGUGCGUGUCUCGAGAACUCGUGAGCACCGCCCGCGCAGGUUCGAGUCCCGCCGCCUCAA
rnacentral:tRNA from 1 species